AGAGUUUGAUCAUGGCUCAGGAUAAACGCUGGCGGCGUGCCUAACACAUGCAAGUCGAACGUCCUUUGGUCCUUCGGGACCAGAGGGAGUGGCGGACGGGUGAGUAACACAUGGGUGACCUGGCCCGAAGUGAGGGAUACCGGCGAGAAGUUGCCGACAAGCCCGCAUAGGCUCUCUUUCGUAGAGGGGAGAGAGCAAAGCCUGAAAAGGUGCUUUGGGAUGGGCCUGUGGCCGAUUAGCUAGUUGGUGGGGUAAGAGCCUACCAAGGCGUCGAUCGGUAGCUGGUCUGAGAGGACGAUCAGCCACACUGGGAUUGAGAACGGCCCAGACUCCUACGGGGGGCAGCAGUGAGGAAUUUUCGGCAAUGGGGGCAACCCUGACCGAGCAACGCCGCGUGCAGGAGGACGCUUUUCGGAGUGUAAACUGCUUUUCUGUGGGACGAGCAAGGACGGUACCACAGGAAGAAGCCCCGGCUAACUACGUGCCAGCAGCCGCGGAAUUC
rnacentral:rRNA from 1 species